rnacentral:lncRNA from 1 species
UUGGAGAGUCAGUCAGUAGGUCAGUUGGGCCAGUUCCUCAUAGGAAUAAGACCCAUGUUGGAUCAAGAGAAAACCCACCUCGGUAUGUCAGUCAGAGAGAGACCCAUGUUGGAUCAAGAGGAAACCCACCUCGGUAUGUCAGUCAGAGAGAGAACCAUGUUGGUUCUAGAGGAAACCCACCUCGGCAUGUCAAUCAUAGAGAGAAGGAGAAGGAGAAGGGGAAGUAUAAUCACAACGAGGAUACUAAGGU